rnacentral:rRNA from 1 species
CACGUAGGGGGCGAGCGUUGUCCGGAAUUAUUGGGCGUAAAGAGCUCGUAGGCGGUCUGUCACGUCGGCUGUGAAAUCCCGAGGCUCAACCUCGGGUCUGCAGUCGAUACGGGCAAACUAGAGUAUUGCAGGGGAGACUGGAAUUCCUGGUGUAGCGGUGAAAUGCGCAGAUAUCAGGAGGAACACCGGUGGCGAAGGCGGGUCUCUGGGCAAUAACUGACGCUGAGGAGCGAAAGCGUGGGGAGCGAACAGG